UCAUAAUGCACAUCAUUAAGACAAUACUAGUUAUCUUUCGAAUGCAAAUUUCAAGGGACCACUUAAAUGUACUUGCCCUGAAGAAUAUACACCCUCGACUGGGAUGGUGCACGGUUGAAAGUAUGAUCUUGAACUUCUUUAUAUUGCACAGACUGAGACCCCAAGGCUGCAUCUAAUUCGAGUGUUUUGUCCGAUGCCAAAGCUGAGUCAACCUGCCACAUCAGCACAUAGCCCUAUAUCACUUUUUAGAUAAAGUUGUGACCUCCAUAAUCACCCACGAAAGAUGAUUCAUUUCCAAAAGGGUGUUCAAAUUACAUGAAGGUUUGCAGAAUAACAAUAUACAGAUCGCAACAGUUUUCUUUUCAUUUCAUGUCAUGUAUAUCUUGAUUAAAGGGGCCUUUGGAUGUCUGAUUUGAAAGUGACUGAUUUUUAAUGUAUCAUCUGUGAUGCUCAUGUGAUUAAA